AUUUGUUUGUGGAAAAGCUCUCAGGUUAAGCAGUUAUUGCGACAUUGAAGCAUCAAUCUGGAUUAUGUGCAAAAGAAUACAAGAAAAUGGCUGAGAAUAGUGAUUGAACCUUGUGAACCUGUGCUGCUGCUUUGCAGAAUUAAGCUGAAAUCCAAAGAGGAGAGAUCUGCUCUCAAAACAAGACAAAGAGAAUUAAGGUCUGUUGAUCUUCCAAUGUCCACAAAAAUAAAUGAAAACUUAUUAUAUGUAAUCUUCUUCAGCUGGAUCCCCACUCAGUAAUACGUAAAGUAUGCUUGGAACCACUCCACUCAGUGCUCUCCCCUAAAUCCAAACUAUCCAUAUCAUUAGGUGUCCCUAACAAAUGAAAAAGGACUACUGCCUGACUUAAGCAGGCAUGCUGCUACCCAGAAUUCUACCCUUUGGACAAUAGGGACAACCAAAUAUAUUGAGGAAUAGGGUGGUAUAUCAAUCACUAUUUCUUUUGUAGCAUCACUGUCCCAUUGCCAUAAAGUUAGCAGGUUCCAUAAUGUAACAGCCUUGUGAUACAAUGACCAGGACAAGUGAAUGAGACAAAUCACCUAUUUAGUUAUUCUCCUCUUGCAAUUUUUGAUAACCUGAAAAUUCAAAUCCUAAAACUAGCUUUCAGAUUAUGACAAUCAAGAUUCCAAAAUGUAUAGUUAGAAACAGGCUUUAAAGUUAGACAAACAUAAAUUGAUAAAUUGGUUAAAUAAGGUUAAAAUGAAAAUGGAGGCUCGGAGAUCAACUACAGAAGGGAAGAGAAUGAUGCAAUAAGAAGGAUAAAACAGCAGAGUACAGUUUUUAAAAUGUUUUAGUCACUUAUUGGGUUUCCACCCACGACUACAGAAAAUGAUUAUUUUAUUUAUUAUUUUAUAAAAAUAUUUUAUAAUAUUUAUAAUAAUCAAUUGUAUUAGCCCGAAUCAAAAUUAAUUGGCAGGAUCGCUUGUUUUUAAUUCCUUUACACAUUGUCAAUGACCUGCCUUAUUACUUCAAGGUUAAUUUAAAACAUGACUGCAUUAAUUCAUUGUUAAUUAAAGAAUGGAAAGCUACCUUACUGGCCAGUUGAAGAAAUUCUGCAUAUGAAUGGGGGAUAGGGAUAGAUAUAUAUACAUAUAGUAGAUGGAACUCCCAAAAUCUGGGGAGGUAACUGU